AUGCAAGCUUCAGGAAGGCAAAUGAAAAUAUUUUUGAUUGUGAGUUUUCAGUCUGAGGCUCAGGCUCUGGUUUUAAUGCAUCCUGGAGUCAGUAACUCCCUCCAUAUGUUGCUUUUUGUUAGAGGUAUGCUUGCUUUAAUGCAGGCAGGGAUGCGGGGUUGGGUGGCUGAUGAGUCAGGAAAUGUUCAAAAGGAAAGGCAAGCAUUCAUUCAGUCAUUCACAUCAUCUUCUCUCCAAUUUCAAGGGGCACGUUCAUCCUGUGCCAUGUGCAGCUUCUAGAACAGAGGGCCAAAUUGGCCCAAAUGUCUAAAAUCCUUUUAGUUGAAUCCAUUAUACUAAUAUCUGACAAUUAUGAACUAAGUCUCAUUUAACAUGCUUAGAUGCUCUCACUUAAAAGGCAAUAAUUACUGAAAAAGAGUGAGUUGUAUAAACCUGUUUCCGAGCACGUUGGUUGACAAGACACCCCACUGGUUAUAAUGCAACCAUCAGGCAGAGCUUUUUAUAUUUAAUGUUGAACAAAUUAUCCUUCAUAAAUGGCAGAUUGAGGAUUCUCACUGUCAAUCUUGCUUUCCAUUCGGCUACAUUUCCAUUUCACAGAACAUCUUGAAUCUAGCUGAGGGAGGUCCCUAAAAAUAUAGAGCAAAAAUAAAUGCAAAAGGAAGAAGUCUAAUAAGAAACUCUAUGCUAAGUCAAUAACAAUUAGGUAUCUUUUCCGUGAAAAUUCCCUCAAAUGAAGAUUUCCAAAACCCUAUGGUCAGUGUGUGCCUCUGCAUCCAUGGCAAGAGUAGCAAGAGGAAUGGGGUUGGGAAGACUUGUGUUUGCACUAUAUCAUGUGUCUCUCAUUGCAAAAACAUAUAGGAUAUAAAGCUGCAAUGCAUUGUAAAGGUCAUCUAAUCUGACUCACUGUGGAAAUUUCCAUUCAAAUGGAAAUUCAAACUCCAUGUGAUUACUCUUCAUUAAUGCAUCACCCAAGGCCUCCUGAAAGGAGUCCUUUGCAUUGCUGGGCCGCUGUCUCCCCAAAUUCUUAAUUAGGAGCCCCAACCUAGAGACCUUUAAUUUCUAUCCAUUUGCCCCUCCAGAGAAACUUACCCCAACUGAUUUUGCACUAUAAACCUCUUAAAAUAUAAAAUUAAAUCAUAACAUCAUUUUAUGAAGAAUAAGAUAAAAAGUAAUUUUAAGUGGCUCUUCCAUUUUUUAAAAUGGAUAUUAUUAAACAUUUUGUUAGAAAGUUUGUUUUAUUAUAAUCAGAAAUACAGAGCAAACAUGUAAAGACAAAUUUUUAUUUUUUCCCUGUUUAUCAAGUUCUAAACAUGAUUUACUUUAAUCAUGUGAAAAAUGCAUUCAAGUUAGCUUGUAUAUAGUUUGCAAAAGAAUGCAUCUUGAACUAGAUUAUAGAUUUUAGUAUCUGUUUCAAUAUCAAGAAUAUUGCUUCCUAGGGGCUGGAGAUACAAUGAUGAACAAUUUGCAGAGCCAGUCUUCAUCCCCAGAGAUUCUGAUUCAGUUUGUUCAGGAAUGAGGCUCUAG
rnacentral:lncRNA from 1 species